UGGGCUUGACAUAUACAGGAUUGGGCUAGAGAUAGUUCGUCCCUUGUGGUCUGUAUACAGGUGGUGCAUGGUU
rnacentral:rRNA from 1 species